CCUACGGGAGACAGCAGUGGGGGAUAUUGCACAAUGGGGGAAACCCUGAUGCAGCGACGCCGCGUGUGGGAAGACGGUCCUCUGGAUUGUAAACCACUGUCCCCAGGGACGAAGAUGACGGUACCUGGGGAGGAAGCUCCGGCUAACUACGUGCCAGCAGCCGCGGUAAUACGUAGGGAGCAAGCGUUGUCCGGAAUUACUGGGGGUAAAGGGAGCGUAGGCGGGAUGGCAAGUUGGGUGUUAAAUCUACCGGCUCAACUGGUAGUCGCACUCAAAACUGCCAUUCUUGAGUGAAGUAGAGGGAGGCGGAAUUCCUGGUGUAGCGGUGAAAUGCGUAGAGAUUAGGAGGAACACCAGUGGCGAAGGCGGCCUGCUGGGCAUUUACUGACGCUGAGGCUCGAAAGUGUGGGGAGCAAACAGGAUUAGAUACCCUUGUAGUC
rnacentral:rRNA from 1 species